rnacentral:rRNA from 1 species
AACAAACGCUGGCGGCGUGCCUAAUACAUGCAAGUCGAACGGGGAAAGCUUUCGGGUGAGUACUAGUGGCGCACGGGUGAGUAACGCGUGGAUAAUCUGCCCUAGAGUGGGGGAUAACUAGUCGAAAGAUUAGCUAAUACCGCAUAAGACCACAAGAACUGCGGUUCAAGAGGUCAAAGGUUUUUCGCUCUAAGAUGAGUCCGCGUAAGAUUAGCUAGUUGGUGAGGUAACGGCUCACCAAGGCAACGAUCUUUAACUGGUCUGAGAGGAUGAGAAGUCACAAUGGAAAGGCGACACGGUCCAGACUCCUACGGGAGGCAGCAGUAGGGAAUAUUGCACAAUGGAGGAAACUCUGAUGCAGCGACGCCGCGUGAGUGAUGAAGGCCUUCGUGUCGUAAAGCUCUGUCGCAGGGGAAUAACACAAUGAAUGUACCCUGUAAGAAAGGAUCGGCUAACUUCGUGCCAGCCGCCGCAGUAACAC